UACGUAGGGGGCUAGCGUUGUCCGGAAUCAUUGGGCGUAAAGCGCGUGUAGGCGGUCCGGUAAGUCCGCUGUGAAAGUCGAGGGCUCAACCCUCGAAUGCCGGUGGAUACUGUCGGGCUAGGGUGCGGAAGAGGCGAGUGGAAUUCCUGGUGUAGCGGUGAAAUGCGCAGAUAUCAGGAGGAACACCUAUUGCGAAGGCAGCUCGCUGGGACGUAACUGACGCUGAGACGCGAAAGCGUGGGGAGCAAACAGG
rnacentral:rRNA from 1 species